GCGAUGGCACUAAUGGGACGUGAGUUUGUGCCCACUAAUAGCAUCCUGCCGUACUUCUGAAGAAAGUGUCUGCUUUGUCUCCGCAUUUGUCUGUGACAGAAGAACAUUACCCAGGCCCGGGCUCCCAUUCUAUUAAUACAUUUGCUUAAUUACGCUGUACAGAGAGUGCCAGGCUGGCAGACAGACUGCAGAACCUCUGCUAUCACUGGAAGUGCUUUGGUGAAGAAGACAGCGGUGACAUCACAGGCAGUGACAUCACCCUGUGACACGCUCCCCGUGCCCUGCAGCCCCUCUGACCCUGCCCGGCGCUGGCACAGUGCAGACGGGGGCCGCCCCCAGCAAAGGGCACGCGCUCAGACAGUGCGUCCCUAUGGCACGGCCCUGGCAUCCCGCUGCCGAGCACUCCUCCUGCCCCCACCACGGGCUCUCUGUCUAUCUGCAUUUCAGCAGCGCCUAUCAGCCCCCGCAGACAGCGCGUUGGAUGGACAGGAACCAUCUGCCUCCAGGUCAAGUGGCCGUGACAGCCGUCCGCUGGCCGCCGAGGCUUCGCCACCGUCUUCCCAGAGCCUCCGGCUGAUUGCGGCACCCCUGUUCCCUCCCAGGCCUCCCCCAUUGCCUCGCUUUGGUGGAUCAACACCAUCACCAGUGCUGCCAUACCUGCACGUGGGGCUGCAAACAGCUCUGGGGCUGCUGAAUGGCUCAAGUUUGUGUUUGCCCUCCUGAAAUCCAUACAGCGAUUGAGGGCUGGAGCAGGGAGAGCUUCCAACAGCCCCGUUACCCAAUUACCAGUUCUGUCCUCUCCAUUGAGCUUGACAAUAACAUUUGUGGGAAAUUUAAGAGAGGGCAGCGCUCCUCCCUGCUCACAGGAGGAAUGAAAGCCUCGCUGCCAUUGGCUUCCAGAUGUCAUCUUGUAUUUUCUAUAAAGGUUUACAGAGACCCCGGCUGGCCCUGGAGACACCAUCCAAGGAGCAAGCAGGGGGUGCCACUUGCACUUUGCACGAGCCCGUGUGGGGCUGCAGCUGAAGCCAUGGCUCUGCCCUGUGCUGGGCUGCAUGGGGAGGGCACAGCCUUCUGGGAGCAGCUUUUUGGGAGCAGAUCGGGCUGUGGGGAGGAGCCUGAAGAGGAAGAACUCCCCAAGCCCCCAGUCUGCUCAUGGGUUUGAUGCACUUCUCCCCUUGGAUCUUGCACUCCCAGCACGGCACACCAGGCAGGAGCGGUGCAGGGAGCAGGAUGGGCCCUUCUGGCCCUUUGUUUUGUAUCUUCGGGAACACAAGUUGCCAUAGGAACCACAGCCCGGACUCCUCAUUAGCAGCCCUAGGUCUGGAUGUCAGAUGAAAGGAGCUGCUCCCUCUCCAACCCCACUGCCCUCCUGCCCUGCCGGAGGCAGGGAGAGCUGUGCCCGGGGUGGCAGCGAAUCCCCGGCUGCCCCAGGGACGUGGAUGGGUGUUACAGUGGGAACGGAGCUGUAGGAACGCACUCGCCUUCUCGUUCCCUGCCUGCAGCAGCGCCUUUGAAAGCACAACAUGCAUCUACCGUUGGCAGCACUGCAGAGCGCGGUGCCCGCCCGCCUGCUGACCCUCUCUCCAAGGAGGAGCUAUUUAAAGCACCGCAUCGAACAACUCCGUCUGCCCGGAGAGGCACUUAGAGCACUUCCCAUAGGUUCCAGGGCUGGCUGCAGGCAGGGAAGGGCUCCUUGUAGGGCACUGGUGAGAGGAGGACCUGCUCACAGCUGCACACCCGGAAUGACAUCAGCACAUCCACCACUACCCAGCAGUGUAAUGGCAUCAGCUAAUCCCCAGCGUCGAGUAAUCUGCUGCCACUGGGACGACACGAAGGAAAGCAGAGCCGGACCCAUCCCUGCUCAUUUGCCCAGCCCUAAUCCCAGAGAAGCAAGCUAAUAAGGCAUGGAGCUCAGUACCUGCUUGCCUUUAUUAAAUUCCCCGCAUCACUCCUACAUUAUAUCCAUCCUUGCCAACUGGAUCUGCCCCGCUUCAGAGCCAGCAAGAGAGGACACAUUUCCAACCAACCCCGGGCUAAAACCUAUUUAUUUGCUCGCACUAUCUGAUGAAUCGUGAAAGCGUUUAAAGCAAAAGGAGAACCCAGGGCUGAUGCAGCAUCACUCGCACCGGCCAUGCUGGGACCAGCUGGCCCCCAGCCCUCACCCUGCCUGCACCAUCCCGCUCCGUCUCCCUCACCCACGGCUCCUCCAGGAGCGGGAGCCCUGCAGGACGGGGCUGUGCUGUUCACAGCAGCAUUCCUCCUUGCUGAGCUGGGGAUCCACCAGCACAGGAGCACAGCCCCACGCAGACCGUAAAUAAACAGCGACAAGUGCACGCAC
rnacentral:lncRNA from 1 species